rnacentral:rRNA from 1 species
GAUGAACGCUGGCGGCGUGCCUAAUACAUGCAAGUCGAGCGAACCGACCAGGAGCUUGCUCCUCUGACGUUAUCGGCGGACGGGUGCGUCACACGUGUAUAACCUACCUCUACGACUGGGAUACCUUCGGGAAACCAGAGCUUAUACCGGAUAAUAUAUUGAACCGCAUUGUUCCCUAGUUAAAGACGGUUUUUCUUAUACUUAUAGAUUGCUACGCGCAGGAUUCGCUAGUUGGUAAGGUGAAGGCUUACCAACGCUACGAUGCUGAGCCGACCUAAAGGCGUGAUCCGCCACACUGGAUGAGAGACACGGUCCAGACUCUGACGGUAGGCAGCAGUAGAGAAUCUUACGCAAUGCAGGAAAGCCGGACGGUGCAAAGUGGGGUAAGGGAUGAAGGUGUUCUGAUGGGAAAACUAUGUAAGUAGUGGAGUACAAAUGUGUAAUUAACUAUGCACGUAUUGACGGUACCGAAUCAAAAAGCCACGGCUAACUACGUG